rnacentral:rRNA from 1 species
AUGGAGGAGCAGCAGUCCGCCGGCAUGGCCGAUCUUGCCGCCCGGCUCACCAAGCGACUCGCGGACGCCAACAGCGACCGCAACCUGGUCUUCUCGCCGCUCUCCAUCUACGCCGCCCUGGCGCUCCUGGCCGUCGGCGCCGGUGGGGAGACCCUGGAAGAGAUCCUCCGCGUCCUAGGCGCACGGUCCCGCCGCGAGCUAGAGGACUCCGUGGAGCGUCUCCUGGACGGAUCAUUGGAUCCUGACGGCGGCGGGCCGAGCGUGGCGUUCGCGUGCGGCGUCUGGAGCGACCUGAGGCGGCCGCUGAAGCCAGCCUUCCGUGACGCCGUCGUCGGCAGGUACAAGGCCGAGGCCAGCUCCGUGGACUUCCGCAACGACCCGGAGCAAGCUAGGGCGAAGAUCAACGCGUGGGCCGCUGCUUCCACGAGGAACCUCAUCGACUCCGCCGUCCCUCGGGGAGCCGUACACCGGAACACCCACCUCGUGCUGGCCAACGCCAUCUACUUCAGGGGCAAGUGGGAAAUGCCUUUCUACAAGAGCUCGACCAAGGACAGGCCCUUCCACCGGCACGACGGGUUCAAGGUGCUCAAGCUGCCCUACGAGAGCAGUACAGCGUACACCCAGCGCCACAGCAUGUGCGUCUUCCUCCCGGACGCGCGUGACGGCCUGGCGGGCCUGCUGGACAAGAUCACGACGUCGUCCCCGGCAGGCUUCCUGCGCGAGCACCUGCCGACGCGCAGAGUCAAGGUCGACCAGGUGCUGGUGCCCAGGUUCGAGCUCUCCUUCAGGAGCAGCGUCACCGCCGUCCUUAAGGACCUUGGGCUCCGGCUACCUUUCAGCCAUCGGGCCGACCUCUCCGAGAUGCUGGAUGACGGCUACGAGUUCUGCGUGCAAGACGUCUUCCAGAAGGCUGUCAUCGAGGUCAACGAGGACGGAACCAAAGCCGCCGCUUUGACCUUCUAUGACGUCACUGCCAAAUCCUCUCAAUACCCGCCGGAGGAAGUGCUUUUCGUCGCCGACCACCCGUUCGCCUACUUUAUAAUCGAGGAGGAGUCGCAUGCGAUCCUCUUCGCCGGACAUGUCGUCGACCCUAGCGAUUGUACCGGGGCGGUGAUUCCAUCAGGGGAGCGCAACACAACAAAAGGUAAAAUUGACAAGGUCGAUGCCGAAUCCGGCCGCAAGAGGCCGAGGGAUGAGCAGCCGCAAUCUUCCCACGGCCACAGCUCGAGCAGGCAGCAUCGACGGGAUGAGAGUAGACGAGUUGCCAGCAGCGAGUACAGAGGAGAAGAGAGUAGAUAUUACCGAAGUGAGCGACGGGAGAGGACGGACUACCCGCGGAGAGAACAUAACAGUAGAUAUUAUUGA